rnacentral:lncRNA from 1 species
AAGUUAAAUAUCUCCUUUAUUGCCACUGGCUGUCAGAAACUCACUGAAGUAGACUAUGAAUGCAAGUACCAUACAUCACCAUAUAUUCUCUGAGAAAUCCAUGGCCACAGAAGUAGCUACUGAUGCUCUGGGUGAAGAGUGGAAGGGUUAUGUGGUCCAGAUCAGUGGUGGGAAUAACAUACAAGGUUUUUCCAUGAAUCAAGGCAUUUUGACCCAUGGCAGCAUGUGCCUGCUGGUGAGUAAGGUGCAUUCUUGUUAUAUUCCAAGGAGAACUGGAGAGAGAAAGUGCAAGUCUGUUUACAGAUACAUUGAGGGUGCCAAUCUAAGUGUUCUAAACUUGGUUAUUGUGGGAAAAAAAAGGAGAGCAGGAUAUUCCUGGACUGAAAGUUAUUACCGUGCCUUGCCUGUUGGGACCUAAAAGAGUUAGUAGAAUCUGAAAGCUUUUAAUUCUCUCUAAAGAAGAUGAUCUUGGCCAUUAUGUUGUCAGAAAGCCCUUAAACAAAGAAGAUAAGAAGCCCAGAUCCAAAGCACCAAAGAUUCAGCGUCUUGUUACUCCACAUGCCCUGAAACACAAAUGUGGACAUACUGCUCUGAAGAAACAACAUAGUAAAAAAUAAAAAAACAGGAGGAGGCUGCAGAGUAUGCUAACAGUUUGGCCAUGAGAAUGAGAGAAGCCAAAGAAAAAUGCCAGGACCAGAUUGCCAUGAGACAAUGGGUGUCCUCACUG